rnacentral:rRNA from 1 species
UACGUGAGGUGCAAGCGUUAAUCGGAAUUACUGGGCGUAAAGCGUGCGCAGGCGGUUUUGUGAAGAUCUGUCGUGAAAGCCCCGGGCUCAACCUGGGAAUUGCGAUGAGGACUGCAAGGCUUGGAAUCUGGCAGAGGGGGGUAGAAUUCCACGUGUAGCAGUGAAAUGCGUAGAGAUGUGGAGGAACACCGAUGGCGAAGGCAGCCCCCUGGGUCAAGAUUGACGCUCAUGACACGAAAGCGUGGGGAGCAAACAGG